rfam:Scleropages formosus scaffold16402, whole genome shotgun sequence.
CAAAAGGCUCUUUUAAGAGCCACCUAAGUCUUCUUGAAAGUGCGAA